UCUAAUAUGGCAGAUUAGUGCAAUAGAUUUAAAUUCUAUAUAUAUAAUAAUAUAUUAUUAUUAGAA
rnacentral:tRNA from 1 species